AAUUUUUACUUGGGCACCCAUUUGAAUAUGUAUUGAUAUCUAAUUGUAUGUCUAUAUAUGGUUGUGCCAAGUGAAAAUUUUGUUAAUGUCUUGGAAAGGUUGAUUGCAUAGAGUGUGGCUUGGAAAGGUUGAAUGAAUUUUUGUAAUGUACAACUUACAACCAUGUAAUCUGAAGAUGGAGGUAAAAUAUUGAAGAUUCAGCACCUCGAAAUUGGAUCAAUAUUGGUAUUUUCAAGCUUGAAGAAAUUUCAGUAACAAAGGUAUUAUUAAAAUUAGAAAUUGUUGUUUGCUAUGUUUGAAUGAUAUUGAACUAAUGCGAUUUAAGUUUGAACGAAUUUUUAAAAAUAUUUUGCAGGUUGUAUUGAUUUUUAGCAGGC
rnacentral:lncRNA from 1 species